GACGAACGCUGGCGGCGUGCUUAACACAUGCAAGUCGAACGAUGAACCCGGAGCUUGCUCCGGUGGAUUAGUGGCGAACGGGUGAGUAACACGUGAGUAACCUGCCCUUGACUCUGGGAUAACUGCGGGAAACUGUAGCUAAUACCGGAUACGACCCUCGGCGGCAUCGCCAGGGGGUGGAAAGAAUUUCGGUCAAGGAUGGACUCGCGGCCUAUCAGCUAGUUGGUGAGGUAACGGCUCACCAAGGCGACGACGGGUAGCCGGCCUGAGAGGGUGACCGGGCACGCUGGGACUGAGACACGGCCCAGAUUCCUACGGGAGGCGGCAGUGGGGAAUAUUGCGCAAUGGGCGCAAGCCUGAUGCAGCAACGCCGCGUGAGGGAUGACGGCCUUCGGGUUGUAAACCUCUUUUAGUAGGGAAGAAGCGAAAGUGACGGUACCUGCAGAAAAAGCACCGGCUAACUACGUGCCAGCCGCCGCCGUAA
rnacentral:rRNA from 1 species